rnacentral:rRNA from 1 species
GAUGAACGCUGGCGGCGUGCCUAAUACAUGCAAGUCGAGCGAACGGACGAGAAGCUUGCUUCUCUGAUGUUAGCGGCGGACGGGUGAGUAACACGUGGAUAACCUACCUAUAAGACUGGGAUAACUUCGGGAAACCGGAGCUAAUACCGGAUAAUAUUUUGAACCGCAUGGUUCAAGAGUAAAAGACGGUCUUGCUGUCACUUAUAGAUGGAUCCGCGCUGCAUUAGCUAGUUGGUAAGGUAACGGCUUACCAAGGCAACGAUGCAUAGCCGACCUGAGAGGGUGAUCGGCCACACUGGAACUGAGACACGGUCCAGACUCCUACGGGAGGCAGCAGUAGGGAAUCUUCCGCAAAGGGCGAAAGCCUGACGGAGCAACGCCGCGUGAGUGAUGAAGGUCUUCGGAUCGUAAAACUCUGUUAUUAGGGAAGAACAUAUGUGUAAGUAACUGUGCACAUCUUGACGGUACCUAAUCAGAAAGCCACGGCUAACUACGUG